GAAGCGGACACCGAAAAGCUUUGAUAGAGUAGGUA
rnacentral:ncRNA from 1 species